CAGAAAAGGGGUUCCCUUCAGCAGCGGUAAAUUUGGGUCCAUCACAGAAGAUUAGCACAGCCCCUGCACAAUGAGGACUCACGAAAACACAAACCAAUUCAUAUUUUA